rnacentral:rRNA from 1 species
AACGAACGCUGGCGGCAUGCCUAACACAUGCCAGUCGAACGAGACCUUCGGGUCUAGUGGCGCACGGGUGCGUAACGCGUGGGAACCUGCCCUUAGGUUCGGAAUAACUCCCCGAAAGGGGUGCUAAUACCGGAUAAUGUCUUCGGACCAACGAUUUAUCGCCUUUGGAUGGGCCCGCGUUGGAUUAGCUAGUUGGUAGGGUAAAAGCCUACCAAGGCGACGAUCCAUAGCUGGUCUGAGAGGAUGAUCAGCCACACUGGGACUGAGACACGGCCCAGACUCCUACGGGAGGCAGCAGUGGGGAAUAUUGGACAAUGGGCGAAAGCCUGAUCCAGCAAUGCCGCGUGAGUGAUGAAGGCCUUAGGGUUGUAAAGCUCUUUUACCCGGGAUGAUAAUGACAGUACCGGGAGAAUAAGCUCCGGCUAACUCCGUG